CUUUGAUAAAUGCUUAUCUACAGGUGCAUUGCUGGCAACGGCGAAGUUCUAAGCUGUAGAGACAAUGUGAAAAUUCUGCUAGCCUAUAGUGGGUUAUUGC
rfam:Fusibacter sp. 3D3 DNA, contig: 24.